UGGGCCUGAGGUAUCCGACGCUCGGGCUGACAAUUACUUCCCUGACAUCAUGGAAUCCAGGUAUCAAAGCUAAGUAAGGUGUGAAUCUCCGUGUGACUUCUUGGAAUGGGUAGAGCUGAGCACAGGAAGGUAACAGAGGGAGACUGGGCAUUGGGGAGGCUUGUUAUACGAGCAUCUGCCUAAAUGAUGAGAACCCAGAGCACUCUGGGAAAGAAGGAACCCAGAGAGAUGCAGGGAGACAGAGCCGUGCAGCAGAGCUGGCGAGAAGAUCCGCUACUGUCAGCGGCUGAGCUGUGGCGCGGGCCCUGCCGACUCGGUAACUAAAGCCAACCUCGACCCCAUCCUCCGCUGAAGGAAAGGCUGCCGAGAUCGGGAAGCACAGACGAAACGGCCAGAGUCUGCUAAUGAAGGUGUUGGUCAUCGAAGCACCCCGAGUGGCUGUUUCCUGUCCUGUUGGCACACAGCCCCUGCCUGUGCUCCCUUCCCUCUGCAUGUCUGAUGGGCCGUGGAUUCCUGGAAACAGAGAGCUGCUCCGUGCUCCCCAAGCCCCACUUAGGAGUUCAGGUCCUGGUUAACACCGUCCAUCUUUUGGGGAGUGGGACUCACUUGCUCUCUUCCCCGAUGCGACCCUUCAAGGAGAUUGGGGCUGAAGGCAGGGACCUGGAGGAGGUCUCCUUUCCAUCCUUUGAGAUGGGUCAGAAUUGAGUUCUGAGAGCCAGCCUGGAUCAGCCUAUUGAGAGAUGUGCCUGGGAAGGACGGAGAGAUGAAGGGCCCCAAUCCAGGCUCCAGAAGACAAGUGUUCCAGUCCUGACUCUCCCUUUUACUGGCUGCAUAAUGCUGGGCAAGUUACUUAGCCCCUCUCUCCCCAAGUGUUCUCUUCCACGUGGAAAUGGCGGUGCGUAUUCCUUAGACUCUAGUAAGGAUGCGAUCAAUAGAAUACAAAAGCACAUAGUC